AUGGUGGGCUCGGCGGGCUAUAAUAUGGACAAAUUUGCUCGCGUUGUUAGGCUUCAGUGGCCAUGGUUUGAGUGGAAGGAGGUUAUCAAGCUAUAUGUGGGGAUGGGAAAACCAUGUGAUGAGGAUGAUCUCAACCUCUUCUAUGCCUCAACCACCAUUACCGUUGAGCACGGCUCCAGGACACCGUAUUGGAGCUCUCCUUGGCCACUUGGGCGUAAGCCCAUGGAAAUGCACCUCUUAUCUUUGAGACUUCCUCUAGAAAGAAUUAGAAAGUUAGAGAGGCUCUACGCGACAACAAUGCAUGGAUUUUCAAGAUCAAGCUUUCCACCACAGUGUCCAUCCAGCACAUUAGCUAUUUUUUCAUGCUUUGGAUGCUCUUCAUGA
rnacentral:rRNA from 1 species